rnacentral:lncRNA from 1 species
UCUAGUGAGGUGAGAGAGAUGAAAUAUGAGUGAGGGAAACAGUCACGAUUAAAGCAAGCGAAACAGUGUCGUUUCGAUGAGGGGGAAGACUGGACCAGGUUGGACACAGGUUUGGGCUGGGAUUUGGGUGGUUUUCGACGGGUUUAAGGGUUUGGGCUUGGCAAUUUUAAUUGUUUUUGGCCCAAAUAUAAAAACUUGAUCCCCUUUUGUCAAAAUCUUUUCAUUUUCCCCUUUUUAUUUUCAAAAAUUAAAUAAAAAUCUAAAUUGAACCCUAGGACCUAAUUAAACUAAUUAAACCUAAAUGAUGCUUACCAUACUUAAUAAAAAAACAAAUUGAAAGAAAUACCCCCAAAAUAAAAGUUAUAAUUAAAACGGUGCACAUCAAACUAUAUAUUUUGUGAUUUUCCUUUUUAUAAAUUGACUAAUUAUUUAAUUAAUCCUAAAAUGUUAAAUCGAAUCCUAAAUGAAAAUGCAUAUAAUUUUUAGUAUUUUCCAUUGAUUAAAAUAAAAUAAACAUGCACAAACAAAUGCAAACAAUUAACAGAAAAUACCACAAAAAUUCACAAAAUUGCAAAUAAUGAAAAGAGAUCAUUUUGUUUUGAAUUUAUGGGAGUAAUUGAUAUAGGGAAAAAAUCAUGUGCUCACAACGAGAUCAACCGUCCAGAUCACAUGCCAUUAAAACGAGGUCGUUUGGAUCAUCUAUAGGGGUAGACCGGGCUUUGUUACGAUUUUGGGCCAGGGUUGGCUGGUAUCAGGGUACAAAUCGGUUUGGGCUUGGAGAGUAUUAAAUUUUUGGCCCAAAAUCUAGUUCUUUCAAUCCUUUUUCCUCUUCUUUUAUUUUAAUAACUCUUUUUCCUUUUAAAAUUAAAAAUAAAAAUCUAAAUUAAUUCCUGUAAAAGGAAACUGAAAUACAUACUCACAAAAAAAUCAAAAAUACAUAAGUGCUUCCAAAACUACUCUAGGGGCCCGUAAGACAUCAGUCGGUCUCGCCUUGGUCCUACAUGAGAUAUCUCCUUGGAAACGAUCCAGGUCAUCCAUUAUCCGGCGAACAAAAGUCAUCACUACACCGAAGAAUGCGGAUCUAGUCUUAUCCUUACACUCAUGGCAUUUCAUGACGAUGUAGUUUGCAAUUGCUCUAACCCUUUCCCUAAUGAUGCCUUUCUCUUGGAGCAGAUGCCCAAAUUGUUGAGACCUGGAUUCUAGAACAUGGGUAUCAUGAUGGCUUGCCCUACGAUUGUUGCAUGUCCUCUUACAGUCGUGACAUCAAUGCAUAACAAUGUUCCCUCUUUGCCUUAAAGUUCUUUGUGUGUUUAGCCAUUUCUUUUUUGAGGGUAGCCGGCUUUUUCUUCAGAUUUGUGACUUCUCUAUCUUAUUUCCCUUUUAAUUGCCGAACAAACUCUGCACAUCCUUUUGUGUUCUUCGCCAACUGUGACUGGGCUCUUGAUAGACUACCUUUGAAUUUUCCAAAUCAUUCCCAUACUCACAUACUUUCCACCUAAGAUCGUUUAUAAGUCUUUCAUCUGUUUGGCUUCUUUUCGGAUUCUCAUCAACUAUUCAUUCUUUGAAUCUGGGCUCGGAGGACUUUAUUUUCUUUGGCCAGCUUCUUCUUUUCACCCUCAUCUCCAGCGGCUUGUAAACCAUUAUUAAAUUUAAGAUCCUUGAUUUGCCCUUGAAACUUCAUUAUGGUGGCCUUGUAUUUAUUUUCUUUGGUCAACCAGGCCUAGUGUUCUUGCGAUGCUUCAACAAAUUCUUGGAUUUGAGGACUUUAGGCUGGCCUUUCAUGUUCGAACCUUGCCGUAAACUUCUAUUUAUACCAAGAAAGCUAACCAGGCGAGACCUUGCCUCUAGACACGUCACGUACUCAGGUGUUUGCAGUCAAAUAUUGGCACUCGUUCUAAAUAUGACGAACCACUUCUUCAUGAAAUUGGCCAUAGGAGUGGAUUUCAACUGCAUGGACACUAAGAUCUUCAUCCUUGGGAACUACCUCGAAUCUUCCCGACUGUCUAAAAACCCGAUAUGGGGCAUAAGGUUGGAUGCCUCGAAGUCCCAUUAGGAGGAAGUAAGGACCAGUGGCAGGUAUGUGCACAAUUUCUUCAACAGGAAGGCAACCCAGUGUCCAUUCUAUUUUCCCUUUAGUUACGGAAUGAAAACGGGACAACCAAUGUCCAAACCCUUCUGCCAUUUUGAACCUUGAGAGCCUUGUGCCGAACUCCUCAAUGCAGUUUUUCCCUGUAGAUCUGCAUUCAUAUAUCAAGGACGAUGACACAGAUGCUCAAUCAUCCACAUCAAUAGUGACAAAUUUCACCCUUCAAAAAAAAUCUGCCACGGCUUUGCAAGCCGUGAGAGCUCGGAAUAUCUCAGACACUAUCAUAAGGGCAAGGGUGCUCUUGCCAUUGGUAAUCAAAACAUUGAUGACUCCAGCUACAUGUAGAUCAAUCUUACCAUCUUUCCUAGGAAACACUAGAAGACCUAAGAAUUCCACCAUAAAAGCGAAGCGUCUAUGCUCUCCCAACUUUGACCGGUUCCCUUUGCUACAGUUUCCACUUUCAGGGUUGUCCAAUCCUCUUACAUGUCCAUUAAGCCGAUAUAUGAAGUGUAGAUUGGUAAACCUCUUGCCAAAUCUGUAUAUUGAACUUGCCUGAUUAUUAUUAGCAAAUCCAGAAACUUGUGAGAGGUCACAACCUUGGAGUGAUCAGGUAUUUAUGUCUUAGACCCUCGGUACUCCUAGUGUAACCUGCUACCUCCUCUAAAGUAGGUAUGAGUUUGAAGUCCGAGAAAUGAAUAAUGAUAUAAGUUAGUUCCCAAAAAGUCGCCAGUGCUUUUAUUAUGUCCCCCCUAGGCCCAAUCUUUAGUAAUCCAGUGAGCGCCCCAAGUAAAGGUUGACCAGGUCUCGUCCUUGCUUACCCAAAUCUUCCCACCACAUGUGUAGUUCCAACGGAAUCUUGGUCAUAACUUUUAUUAGUAAAUCUUGACUCGUGCUUAUUUUUCUCAUUUAGAGUAAGAUGAUUGGUUUAAAACAAAGUGAAUUUCAUUAAAGCUGAUAAAAAUGGGUCAUGCUAAAGAAAAACUCAAAAUUCAAAUACACAACGACCACUUUUGCAAAUACGGCCCUUCAACACUUAAAAAGGCAAAGAUUUUAGGGAUGAUUUUGCUACGCGGACGAACAUU